UGAGUUACGUGAUACCCCAUCUCGGUUAA
rnacentral:piRNA from 1 species